rnacentral:rRNA from 1 species
UACGUGGGGUCCAAGCGUUAUCCGGAUUUACUGGGCGUAAAGCGUGCGCAGGCGGUUGUGCAAGACAGAUGUGAAAUCCCCGGGCUCAACCUGGGAACUGCAUUUGUGACUGCACAGCUUGAGUGCGGCAGAGGGGGAUGGAAUUCCGCGUGUAGCAGUGAAAUGCGUAGAUAUGCGGAGGAACACCGGUGGCGAAGGCGGAUUUCUGGACCAGUUCUGACACUGAUGAGCGAAAGCCAGGGGAGCAAACAGG